rfam:Gossypium arboreum cultivar AKA8401 contig_39654_1, whole genome shotgun sequence.
UGUUAAUUUUUUUUUUCAUUUCUAUGGUUAAAAAUUGGCAUACCUAACAAAAUAACCAAACAAUGACAUGUGACAUGCUACAUAUAUCUCAUGCUGGUAUACAUGGACUAGUUUUUAGCAGUAGAAAUAGAUGAAAUUUUUAAUA